UCUGUGAAGGCUGUGAGAGACAGCAUCCAGCAGUUGUGCAUGGUAAUUCUGAAGAUGAAGACCUGGGGUUCUUUGAAUUUUUGUGGUGCCAGACAUAAACUGGAUAAAAACAAAAGUACACUGCUCCUGGUGGAUUCAAUGUGGACUGACUGUUAAGAGAAAUGGAAGUUGUUUAAUACAACUCUUUUUUAAAAUUUAAUUUAAAAAAUGUAGUCCAACGAGUAAUUGCUGAAGACCUCCUAAAUUAAGCGUCACCAUGAAAGUUCAAGUAUUCAUGAAGACUAGAAAGAUGCUGCCCUAAAGGAUAUAAAUAUCUACUAAGGAAGUGAAGGACUGUUAAAUGCAAAUUGACAUCCAGGAGACUGGCCCGCUACCUGACAGCUUUCAGUUUGCUGUGACUAUUCUUGUCUGGUGCCUCCCAGAAAGGCUGCUUUGGAAAACCACUGAUUCUCAAAUAAUGGCUGUCAUUUCUACAUCUGCGCCUAGUCUGACCCUUUUUCACAGGCCGCAAUCCCUGCUUCCUUCCUAUAAUUCUGCUUACCCCAUGAGGGCAACUAUGAAUGUGGCCUUGCUGUCUUCCUUCUAUCUGGUCCCAUCUGUACUGUAUCUAAUGGAAAUUAAUCCACAUUCCUAGCAGGUGUAUGUUAUUAUUUCCAAGUUUGCACUUCAGAUGCAGGUGUCUCUCUUCCAGGAUUGGUUCAUGAUGAACUUAUAUUCAUGUUCAUACCUUACCCAAAGUUAAUCCAGGAAAGGUAUUCAGACAAUCAAUGUUUAUAAAUAUUGGUUUUGUCAACUUAUUUAUGUCUUUUCCUCCCCAGGGAAACAAUUAAUUUGGCAUGAAUUCUUCAGAUGUUUUUGGCUAGCUUCCAGAUGUUUAAAAACAGACAAAAUUUGCAAAAGCAUGUUUAAUUGUUUAAUUUCAUGUCAUGUUUGAACCCACUUACAUGUCCUCCGUUUAACUGAACACUAUUGAAUGUAAAUAUUUUAUUACUUUUGUUUUUCUUUAACAGAACUAGGAAAGAAUGUUGCCUUGUUAGAGAUUUAGUUCUCCAUCCAAAACUACCUCCAACUGAGGGAACAGUACACUAUGAAACACCACGUGGUUUCUAACAAGUUGUCAAUUAAGAUCUGUUACUCUGUAUUUGUGUGAUGAGUGGGAGGCAACUGUACUAAAACCUUAUUCAAAUAUCACAAUUAUUAUAUAAGAAAUAUAAAUUACAUCUACUUAUGUCUGUUUAUAUCUUCUACUGUUUUAGCAACUAGAUAUGCUUUAUAUAAAAGGGAAAAAAUCUUAAAAUGUAAGAAAAAUAUAAAAUCUAAGCUUUGGAGAAAUAGUUAUAUAGAAACAAAUUUCCUUUGCAUCUCUAAAAGCCUAAACUGGUCUCAGAGUCCUUUUCAAAUCAACUGUUUGUCAAAGCCAAUUCUUUAUCAUAAUCCAUCUAUAUCAGGAUGGAAUAAGCAAAACCUAUGGUCUACCAGUACAAAACUGUUACCCAAUAUUUUUGGUUAUUUUUUAUUCCAGCCUGGGCCUAUAAAAACACUAAAAAGGAAGGUUUACUAAAAUAUAGUCUGGCAUUAUUUUUAGUUCCUGUUAGCUUGACCUUUGUGAGCUUGAAGAAUCCCAUCCUCCAUCCAUCCUCCAAAUCCCUUGAAUUAUAAGCAAAUGCUCCUCUUUUGGUUGGUUGUUACUAAAUCAAUUGAAACACUUUACAGUAUUGCUGCAUAUAAUUUGGUGUAUGGACCAAUUGCAGUGGUAUUACCUAGGAGUUUUUAUUUUUCUAAAGAUUUUUUUGAUGUGGACCAUUUUUAAAGUCUUUAUUGAAUUUAUUACAAUAUUGCUUCUGUUUUAUGUUCUGGUUUUUUGGCCGCAAGGCAUGUGGGAUCUUGGUUCCCCAACCAGGGAUCGACCCCACACCCCCUGCAUUGGAAGGCGAGGUCUUAACUACUGGACCGCCUAAACAUGCAGAAUUUAAGUCUACAUAUCAGACUUAACUGAGUCAAAAUACACAUGUAUUUAUUUAUUUUUGGCCAUCCUAAGAAGUGUGUGGUGGUAUCUCAUUAUUGUUUUUCCUUGACUAUUUUUUAUUUAUAAAUAUUUGCUGAUUGAGUAUUAAAUUGCAUUUUAGAUUACAUAUAAACUUGAAUAAUUUUUCAAAUGUUUAAUGGCCCUUUGUAUUUUUCUGCUUUGUAUUUUUCCUUCUGUCUCAUUUUCUUAAAACACACAUUGUUGCAUUUAUGCGCUACUGCUAUGGGUAUCCUUUUUUUUCCUUUUAAAACCCACCACCUGCCCUGGGUGCCAGCGCAACAGCAAGGGUUAAGUCCCAGCGUAACCUGAAUGGGGACGUGCUGGGCCUGAUUAUGGAGGAAAGACACUCCACCAGAAGAGCUACUUGCAUUGGAGCAUAUACUGGUAGGUGUCAAGAGAGUACCCCUGGCAUUGGAUUAUUAUUAUUUUUAAAAAUUUCUCCCAUCCCCACACUCUGUCUCUGGAGUCUACCAAUCUGUUCUCUGUAUCUAUGAGCUUGUUUUGUUUUGUUUUUUUAAGAUUCCACAUGUAAAAGAAAUGAUAUGGUAUUUGUCUUUAUCUGACUUAUUUCACUUAGUAAAAUGCCCAUGAGGUCCAUCCAUGUUGUCACAAAUAGCAGGAUUUGAUUUUUUUAUGGCUGAAUAAUACUACAUUGUCUAUAUAUAUACCACAAUUUCUUUAUCCAUUCAUCCAUUGAUGGACACUUAGGUUGUUUCCAUAUCUUAGCUAUUGUAAAUAAUGCUACAAUGAACACGGGGAAGCAUAUAUCUUUUUGAGUUAGUGUUUUUGUUUUCCUCAGAUAAAUACCCAGGAGUGGAAUUGCUGAAUCAUAUGGUAUAAUAGUUCUAAUUUUAGUUGUUUGAGGAGCCGCCAUACUUUUUUCAUAGUGGCUGCACCAAUUUAUAUUCCCACCAACAGUGCACCAGGGUUUCCUUUUCUCCACAUCCUUGCCAAUACAUACUUCUUGACUUUUUGAUAGUAGCUGUUUUAACUGGUGUGAAUUGAUAUUGUAGUUUUGAUUUUCAUUUCCCUGAUAAUUAAUGAUGUUGAGCAUCUUUUCAUAACUUAUUGACCAUCUGUUUGUCUUCUUUGGAAAAACGUCUUCAGAUAUUAUGCCCAUUUUUUUUUAAAUUAAUUAAUUAAUUAAUUAAUUUUUGGCUGUGUUGGGUCUUCGUUUCUGUGCGAGGGCUUUCUCUAGUUGCGGCAAGCGGGGGCCACUCUUCAUCGCAGUACGUGGAUUAUGCCCAUUUUUUAAUUGAAUUGUUUGGUUUUUUGCUGUUGAGUUGUAAGAGUUUCUUUUACAGACAAACCUU